rnacentral:rRNA from 1 species
UUUAUGGAGAGAUUGAUCCUGGCUCAGGAUGAGCGCUGGCGGCGUGCCUAAUACAUGAAAGUCGAGCGAACGGAC